rnacentral:rRNA from 1 species
AAAGUGGAGCAAUCCAUGAGUAAAGUGGCGCACGGGUGAGUAACACGUGUACUAACCUACCCAGGAGUGGGGGAUAACUGAGGGAAACCUUAGCUAAUACCGCAUAACACCUACGGGUCAAAGGAGCAAUUCGCUUCUGGAGGGGGUCGCGGCCGAUUAGUUAGUUGGCAGGGUAAUGGCCUACCAAGACGAUGAUCGGUAUCCGGCCUGAGAGGGCGCACGGACACACUGGAACUGAAACACGGUCCAGACUCCUACGGGAGGCAGCAGUGGGGAAUUUUGCGCAAUGGGGGAAACCCUGACGCAGCAACGCCGCGUGGAGGAUGAAGUCCUUCGGGACGUAAACUCCUUUCGAUCGGGACGAUUAUGACGGUACCGGAAGAAGAAGCCCCGGCUAACUUCGUGCCAGCAGCCGCGGUAAUACGAGGGGGGCGAGCGUUGUUCGGAAUUAUUGGGCGUAAAGGGUGCGUAGGCGGUUUGGUAAGUCUGAUGUGAAAUCUAUGGGCUCAACUCAUAGUUUGCAUCGGAAACUGCCGGGCUUGAGUAUGGGAGAGGUGAGUGGAAUUCCUGGUGUAGCGGUGAAAUGCGUAGAUAUCAGGAGGAACACCUGUGGCGAAAGCGGCUCACUGGACCAUAACUGACGCUGAUGCACGAAAGCUAGGGGAGCAAACAGGAUUAGAUACCCUGGUAGUCCUAGCCCUAAACGAUGACUGCUUGGUGUGACGGGUACCCAAUCCCGCCGUGCCGUAGCUAACGCGUUAAGCAGUCCGCCUGGGGAGUACGGUCGCAAGGCUGAAACUC